AGCUUCUUUAUCUAUCCAUGUAUCUUGGCUAGAAAUAGGUUAUACUUAAUCCAUGGCUUUCUCUGUUUUCUCUUCCUUCAUCAUCCAUCCUCAGCUGUGGAAUCUCAUUUCCAAUAUGUCUCUCUUUGACUCCAUACUCUUCUCUGCUAUACAUUUUGUGGACAAGCUUGGAGUAUGGCAUAGGCUACCAGUGAUAUUGGGAAUCAUUUACUUGGCGAUCAGAAGACAUCUACACCAAAGUUAUAAUCUAUUCCAUGUUGGAGGAAUCAACGGUCUUAAAUAUGACACCAAGCAGUUUUCAUAUCGAACGGCUGAUGGGAAAUGCAACCAUCCCACCGAUGAUACAAUUGGCAGUCAAGGAACAUUUUUUGGCCGGAAUAUGCCUCCGUCUUCUUCUGCUUAUGGGUUGCUGGAUCCUCAUCCAACAAUUGUAGCCAACAAGCUUUUGGCAAGAAAGAAGUUCAUAGACAAUGGGAAGCAAUUCAACAUGAUAGCCUGCUCCUGGAUCCAAUUCAUGAUUCAUGACUGGAUUGAUCAUAUGGAGGAUACCCAACAGGUGGAAAUUAGAGCACCUAACGAAAUUGCAAAUGGAUGUCCAUUGAAGUCCUUCAAAUUCUACAAAACAAAGAAAGUUGCCACAAAUUCACCUUCUUUAAAGGAUGGAUGCCUGAAUACAAGAACACCUUGGUGGGAUGGAAGUGUAGUUUAUGGAAAUAAUGAGGGUGGAAUGAGAAGAGUGAGAACAUUCAAAGAUGGGAAGUUAAAGAUCGCAGCAGAUGGGCUUCUUGAACAUGAUGAGAAUGGGAUUCCAAUCUCAGGUGAUGUUAGGAAUUGCUGGGCAGGCUUCUCCCUAUUACAAGCCUUAUUUGUCAAAGAACAUAAUGCAGUAUGUGAUAUGCUUCAAGAAAAUUAUCCUGAUUUUGAUGAUGAGGAACUCUAUCGGCAUGCAAGAUUGGUGACUUCAGCUCUAAUUGCUAAAAUUCACACCAUUGAUUGGACUGUAGAACUUCUGAAAACUGAUACUCUUCUUGCAGGCAUGAGGAUCAACUGGUAUGGAUUUCUGGGGAAGAAAGUUAAGGAUUUGUUUGGACACAUUGGAGGACCUUUGCUUAGUGGAUUGGUUGGCCUUAAAAGGCCAAGAGAUCAUGGAGUUCCCUAUUCACUGACUGAAGAGUUUGCAAGUGUCUAUAGAAUGCAUUCUCUUUUACCUGAUACACUCAUUAUAAGGGAUAUCAAUUCCACUUCUUCAGAAUUUGAAUGCCCUCAAGUAUUAGAAGAAGUGCCUAUGAGGGAAAUGGUGGGAAAGGAAGGGGAGAAAAGAUUAUCAAAAAUUGGAAUGGAGAAAAUGUUGGUAUCAAUGGGUCAUCAAGCAAGUGGAGCUGUCACAUUAUGGAACUAUCCUUCAUGGAUGAGAAAUCUUAUUGCUCAUGAUAUCAAUGGAGAAGAUAGACCAGAUCUGGUUGAUAUGGCUGCAAUGGAAAUCUACAGAGAUAGGGAGAGAGAAGUUGCAAGGUAUAAUGAAUUCAGAAGGAACUUAUUGAUGAUUCCUAUUAGCAAGUGGGAAGAUUUGACAGAUGAUGAAGAGGUUAUAGAAGCUCUUCAUCAAGUUUAUGGAAAUGAUGUUGAAAAGCUUGAUUUGCUUGUUGGUCUACAUGCUGAAAAGAAAAUUAAAGGCUUUGCCAUAAGUGAGACUGCAUUUUUUAUCUUCUUACUUGUUGCAUCAAGGAGGCUAGAGGCGGAUCGCUUCUUCACUACAAAUUUCAACUCCAAAACUUAUACACAAAAAGGGUUAGAUUGGCUUAACAGUACAGAGACAAUGAAAGAUGUGAUUGAUCGCCAUUUCCCUGAAAUGACGAAGAAAUGGAUGAAAUGUUCAAGUGCAUUCGCAGUUUGGGAUUCAGAACCAGAUCAUAUGAACCACUUACCCUUGUAUUUGAGACCUGCCCCAUGAAAUGCUUAUCUCUUUGAUGGCUGUGGAAAGCUUUUUUUUGCAGAAUAAUAUAGUUGUCUCAAUUGAAAGACUUGUUAAACAUAUGUUGAAUGUAAAUUUCUUAUGUGUAUAAAUAAAAGUAAUUAAUGUUAACGAAAAAAUAGAAAGAAAAUACUAUUUUCAGAAAAAAUGGAUCGAAU
rnacentral:misc_RNA from 1 species